UCAUCUUCCAGCUCUAGACAGAGCCGACUGUCUCCCGUGCCGUGCACAGUGCCGCCGCCUCCUCCCACCAAUCCGACCUACCCGUUGCUCCUAUUUCCAAAUUAGUUGCAGGAAUGGAAUCCUCUCAAUCUCCUCUUCUUUUUCCCCAAGAAAUCCCCAAAAGUUUCUAUGGAAAUCCUUUCCAAUUUCGCGGUUCAAUCUUUCCUUCCUCCGGCGAGAACCCUAGAAUUUCCCGAGUUUUUCCCGUCGAUUUGGGCCCGGACCCGAGCUCCCGUGCCUAUAUAAAGGACCCCCUAGUCGUCCUCUACCUAUCUCCUCAAGUCCCGUCUUCCGCCGUCGCCGGAAACCUUCUCUCCCCGCGCUCUCCUUCUCUCUCCAAGCGCAGGCACCGCUCCAGCCGCGCCGUUCGUCGUCGUCCAUCGUCUCCUUCGGUCGCCGCCGCCGCCGUUGGAUUCGCAAGGAGGAGGAGAAGCCCGGCAGCCGGUUCCCUUGCGCCGAAAUCUCGCCAGAAGCCAUCCUCGCCGUGAACCAGUGGGUUGCCGCCGUCUUUUGUUCUACAGCCGCCGUUCGCCGUCGUCCCAGCUGUCCCUGGUCAGAGCUGCUCCCUCCUUCGGCAUCGCAGCGCCAAGCCGAAGGACGUCCACCCCUCUGUUGCCGCCGUUCGUAGCCGGAAAGUCGUCGCCACCGUGGACAGUACCUCGCCGCCCUUCGAAGCUCGUCACCGGCCAUCUUCCAUCGCUGUCCGUCGUCGCGUAAGUGUUGCGUCGUCAUCGUCUCCAUGUGUUGCCGCCGGUUCACCGUCGUCAUCUAUCUCUCUCCGAUCGCUUUGGUUCGCUUGUCGUUUCGAAAGUUCGUGAGUGCGUUGGAAGUAUCCAAGAAGAUUAAUGGAAGACCGAAUAUUGCGAGGCAAGUCACACAGAUCCCAAACACAAUUCCUUUGAGCAUGUUGAUCCUAUAUUUAAAUUCUCUAUUUAUUUCAACUGUGCAUUUAUUUUCGAAUG